rnacentral:rRNA from 1 species
GAUGAACGCUGACAGCAUGCUUAACACAUGCAAGUCAACUUGAAUUUGGGUUUUUAACUUAGGUUUGGGUGGCGGACGGGUGAGUAACGCGUAAAGAACUUGCCUCACAGCUAGGGACAACAUUUGGAAACGAAUGCUAAUACCUAAUAUUAUGAUAAUAGGGCAUCCUAUAAUUAUGAAAGCUAUAAGCGCUGUGAGAGAGCUUUGCGUCCCAUUAGCUAGUUGGAGAGGUAACGGCUCACCAAGGCGAUGAUGGGUAGCCGGCCUGAGAGGGUGAUCGGCCACAAGGGAACUGAGACACGGCCCUUACCCUUACGGGGGGCAGCGGUGGGGAAUAUUGGACAAUGGACCGAGAGUCUGAUCCAGCAAUUCUGUGUGCACGAUGAAGUUUUUCGGAAUGUAAAGUGCUUUCAGUUGGGAAGAAACAAAUGACGGUACCAACAGAAGAAGUGACGGCUAAAUACGUG